UUCACACACGCUGGCUGGACUACUGUACGCAAGUAGAGCAGUGAUUGGACCAGGGCUCUGCCAGUCAAUGAACAAAUCCCCUCUGACUUCCUCUCCUCCUUUCCUAAUGCAGCAUGGGCUGAGAGGGAGGGGAGUUGAUCUGUCUUCACAGCCUGCCUCAGCUCAGCUCGCCACCUGCCCUUGAGUUACUGUGAAUAGACAAGACAGAGAGGAAGUCGUUCUGUAGUCUGGCUCUUGUAAACCAUAUCUCUGCUGUGUUUUUAUCCCUGGGCUGUUUAGAUUUUUUCCGCUCUCUGCUCUGGGGGUGGAGUGGAGCGUUUGUCCCUGGCUGGCGGAGCUCCGAUGGGAGGCAGCGCUGCCUCUGUCUGGGACUGGGGAUGCUGAACGGGGGAAGGGAGGGCCUGUUUCAACUGGGACAGCAGCUCCAGCAACAGGGGGAGUACCAGGCCGCCCUCCACUGCUUCCUUAGCUCUCUGCUGGGGUUAAGGCACGUGCAGAGCUUCACUUCGCUGCCCAACUGCCUUCACCAGAUUGCGGAACUCUUCAUCUCCGAAAAUAAUUACGGCAAGGCCCUGCAGUUCAUUCAGGCUGAGAAGAUGUUCUACGAGGUUUCUCUAAUUGAGCUCACUGCUGUUCAGGGGAGCACAGGCAAGUAUAUUUGCAUCUGUAAAAUGGUGGCAUCCACAAGUUCAGCUUCUCACCAUCUGACAACUAUAUCAGAAGGGGGCCAUCGUCAGUAACGUUUUGUCGUGGAUCUGGGUUGGCCACCCACUCAUUGCCCACCAUUGUGCAUAGGUACAAGGAGUGACGAAGGAUGCCGUUUAAGUACUAUGAGGGUGGUUGAUGAAGCAAUUGGACUCAGGUGAGUGAGGCAGGCUUUUGGCUAAUGAAGAUUGGAUGCAGGUGAGCAAAUUGGCAUGGGUACUGCUCUACGUCCAUAUAUGGAUUUCCUUGCCGCUCUGCCGCCUUCCAUUGUGGAUGUCUGGACCCAUAUAUGGAGUUCCUGCUACAGGGCCGCAUUCCAGUAUGAAUGUUGUUAUCCAUGUAUGGAAUUCUGCAUUCCAAUAUGGGAAGUCUGAGUCCAUAUAGGGAGUUCCUGCGCCAAGGCUGCAUUCCAAUACAGAAGAACAAGCACAUAUAUGGAAGUUCCUGUUGUGGAUUAGGUAUGUCAUCUGAAGCUUAAAGCUGUCCUCCCAAAACUGUGUUAUAAACUACACUUAGCACUCUAACUGGGUGAUUAAGGGGUGCCCUAACGAAAUUCUAUUGCUGUAAGCUAUCAAUUGUAGUAUACAGUAUGGUGUCUGUCUGUCUGUCUGUCUGUCUGUCUGUCUGUCUGUCUGUCUGUCUGUCGGCUGCUGAUUCAACAGUAGUUCAGUGUAGCAUGGUCUGUCUGUCUGUCUGUCUCUGUCUGUCUGUCUGUCUCUGUCUGUCUGUCUGUCUGGAGGCUGCUGAUUCAACAGCAGUUCAGUGUAGCAUUGUCUGUCAGACAGACAGACAGACAGACAGGCUGCUGAUUCAACAGCAGUUCAGUGUAGCAUGGGCAGGAGGUAGCAGGAGUUAUGGGAUGGACAGGGAAGACAAAUGGCCAUGUUAGGCAUUAUCUCAUAAGGAGUUGUGUGGCGCCAUGGAAUACUGAGGCCCCUGAUUCAGCACUGUGCCAGCUGCUCUGUUUCUCUCUCCUGGGGCAAUGCUGGCAUCACAAUCACUCCACCAGCCUUCUCUCUCUCUCUUCAAUCUCCUGUUCAAACCUCAGCCCAUUUCCAUCUCAUUUUGAUUAUCUGACAGAUAUUGGACCUACUCUAUUUUCAAUGCUUUCUAUUCUUUUCCCUCAUCCUGUUAAAAGUUUCUGUCUCCUUAUUGCCAUUUCUGAACCACUUUACUUUUCAGUUUACCUCUCCAACGUUAGGCUGGAAAAACCUUUAUGGAGGAUAAUCUCCACUCCCACCAUUGUCAGCUCAGGUGUUUGUGUCUGUGUGAACAGGUAGCUGUGCCACUGCUUUUGUGGGUGUGGUAAGUGCGCUGUUUGCACUCACAGUAUCCUCUCCCUUCCCUCGUCCCUCUGCUCUCUAUCUGACGUCUCCUGCUCACUAUCCUGUUGGCUCCACUGUACCCUGCUGUUCAGACUCCACUCUCAUCUCCACACUGCCAGCCCUGCCAGAGAUCACAUCACCAGCAUUUUGCAUUCUGUUUACUUGCUAUGUAGAGUGACAGAGGGAGUUAAAGGGAUAUAAAGAGCGAGAGAAGGAUAGAGCGUGAGCAAGAGGGAUCGAGACAGACGUUAGCGGGCGGCUGAUUACAUGCCCUGUGUGUGUGUAACAGGCCCCCAGAAGGAGGCUUUGCUGGGCUCGUCUGGGACAGGAUGGGCAUCCCCAGAGGAGCUAUCGGAUCAGGCCUCCCAGGCACAGCAUUUUGAGCGGCUGGCCCAGCUUUGCAUCAUGAGUAAAAGGUACGUAGAGUUAACAAGAAUAACGCAAAUGUCCUCUCUUGCAAUAAGGGCAGUGCUGUUUAGUAUUGUUGGUCUUCCUCUCAUUAAAUGAGACAACUUUGCUGUUUCUGUUCUGCUGGCUUUUCUGAACUGGUGUUGGUAAUUACUGGGUUUCAAGUAUGGAGGGAUGAGAAAGUAGAUAUUAAUACUAUGCCUGAUAUAGACAGCACAAUAUAUACUGAUACUGUAGGUGUUUUUGCUUGUUGUUAAAAGCUCCAAAAGGCUGUAGUUAUAUUUACUAGAUGCUGUAUUUUGAUAUCUUGGCUAGCUCUGUUCCCCUUUACUUUUGACAGGCUGUAUGAGUGUAUAAUAUCUUUACAAAAUGAAAAACAGUGAUACUGUCAUUCAGACAUGAGGCUAUUUCAUUGAGGCAUUGUUCGCUUUCUGUAGUUUUAAAUUGGACGUUUCUGAAUGAUGUGCUUAUUUCUAACAGAAAUCUACAGUAUUUAAACUGUAUGCUAUCUCACAUCUUAAAGUGAUACUCAUUUCCAUAUUGCCCCACCCCCAGAUUGUUAGUGAAAGAUGGGUUUAUAUGUUUAUAGUGCUUUGAAAAUAUGUCAUCAGGAUGAAAAUGUACCUCGCCAAAAUAAACCAGUGCACAAAGAAAUGUUUGCAUCUGUGGCCCUCAUGCAAAAACCACAGAGGUGAAUUUACCUGUAGAGGUGGAGCAAAGGGACAACAUCCCUAAUGGGAGUUUCAAGUGUUACCAGAACACAUUGAUCUGAUGUCCUUGAUGCUGGGGUAUUCUGGUAGGCCACAAAGACAGGAUCAUACACAUUGAUCUGAUGUCCUUGAUGCUGGGGUAUUCUGGUAGGCCACAAAGACAGGAACAUACACAUUGAUCUGAUGUCCUUGAUGCUGGGGUAUUCUGGUAGGCCACAAAGACAGGAACAUACACAUUGAUCUGAUGUCCUUGAUGCUGGGGUAUUCUGGUAGGCCACAAAGACAGGAACAUACACAUUGAUCUGAUGUCCUUGAUGCUGGGGUAUUCUGGUAGGCCACAAAGACAGGAACAUACACAUUGAUCUGAUGUCCUUGAUGCUGGGGUAUUCUGGUAGGCCACAAAGACAGGAACAUACACAUUGAUCUGAUGUCCUUGAUGCUGGGGUAUUCUGGUAGGCCACAAAGACAGGAACAUACACAUUGAUCUGAUGUCCUUGAUGCUGGGGUAUUCUGGUAGGCCACAAAGACAGGAACAUACACAUUGAUCUGAUGUCCUUGAUGCUGGGGUAUUCUGGUAGGUCACAAAGACAGGAACAUACACAUUGAUCUGAUGUCCUUGAUGCUGGGGUAUUCUGGUAGGCCACAAAGACAGGAACAUACACAUUGAUCUGAUGUCCUUGAUGCUGGGGUAUUCUGGUAGGCCACAAAGACAGGAACAUACACAUUGAUCUGAUGUCCUUGAUGCUGGGGUAUUCUGGUAGGUCACAAAGACAGGAACAUACACAUUGAUCUGAUGUCCUUGAUGCUGGGGUAUUCUGGUAGGCCACAAAGACAGGAUCAUACACAUUGAUCUGAUGUCCUUGAUGCUGGGGUAUUCUGGUAGGUCACAAAGACAGGAUCAUACACAUUGAUCUGAUGUCCUUGAUGCUGGGGUAUUCUGGUAGGUCACAAAGACAGGAACAUACACAUUGAUCUGAUGUCCUUGAUGCUGGGGUAUUCUGGUAGGCCACAAAGACAGGAACAUACACAUUGAUCUGAUGUCCUUGAUGCUGGGGUAUUCUGGUAGGCCACAAAGACAGGAACAUACACAUUGAUCUGAUGUCCUUGAUGCUGGGGUAUUCUGGUAGGCCACAAAGACAGGAGCAUACACAUUUAUUUGCCCCUCCUGUCAAUGUUUGGAAGAUUAGAGAAUUUAGCCUAAUUGGCUUGAUAGGAUGGAAGGGGGUAACAGGUAUCCUGACUACUCAAGCUAAAUUCUUCUGCUGCUCCGUCGUUCACUACAUACGAGUCUAAGAUUGCUGUCAUUGAAGUCGUUUUUGGUGAUGAGGUGCACGAAGGGUGUCGUUCAAAACAAAGUAAUCAGUGAUUGAAUCGUCUCUAACCCAUCACAGUAACAAAGCCAAUGACCAAUUUUCAAACUAUCGCUUUACCCACGUGCGUUCUGGCUCUGG